GGGGCAUUAGCUCAGCUGGGAGAGCGCAUGGCUGGCAGCCAUGAGGUCAGGGGUUCGAUCCCCCUAUGCUCCACCA
rnacentral:tRNA from 18 species